GUGGGGAAUAUUGGACAAUGGGCGCAAGCCUGAUCCAGCCAUGCCGCGUGAGUGAUGAAGGCCUUAGGGUUGUAAAGCUCUUUCAGUGGGGACGAUAAUGACGGUACCCACAGAAGAAGCCCCGGCUAACUUCGUGCCAGCAGCCGCGGUAAUACGAAGGGGGCUAGCGUUGUUCGGAUUUACUGGGCGUAAAGCGCACGUAGGCGGAUCGUUAAGUCGGGGGUGAAAUCCUGGAGCUCGACUCCAGAACUGCCUUCGAUACUGGCGAGCUUGAGUUCGGAAGAGGUGAGUGGAACUCCUAGUGUAGAGGUGGAAGUCGUAGAUAUGAGGAAGAACACCAGUGGCGAAGGCGGCUCACUGGUCCGGUACUGACGCUGAGGUGCGAAAGCGUGGGGAGCAAACAGGAUUAGAAACCCUGGUAGUCC
rnacentral:rRNA from 1 species